CCCUUAGAUGUUCUGGGCAGCACGCGCGCUACAAUGGUCUUCGCAAAUGGAUGCAUUCUCGAAGGAGAAUGCCAAUCUUGGAAUCUAUGCCUUGGUCGGGACAGUUGCUUGCAAUUUUUCGACUCGAACCAGGAAUUCCUUGUAAUCGUGAUUCAUCACAUCACGAUGAAUACGUCCCUGCCCUUUGUACACACCGCCCGUCGCUCCUACCGAUCGAAGAGUUAGGUGAAUUGUUUUGAUCGAUAAGAUUUGACUAUGGUCAACUCUCGUUGUGAAAUUCUGUGAAGCUGACUGUUUAGAGGAAGGAAAAGUCGUAACA
rnacentral:rRNA from 1 species